CUCAACAGCAGUAUGGUGAGAUGAGGGAGGGGGAGGGAGAGAUAACAUGGAUGCUAUGUAUUAACAGAGAGAGGUAGAGAUAACAUGGAUGCUAUGUAUUAACAGAGAGAGGUAGAGAUAACAUGGAUGCUAUGUAUUAACAGAGAGAGAGGUAGAGAUAACAUGGAUGCUAUGUAUUAACAGAGGGAGAGGUAGAGAUAACAUGGAUGCUAUGUAUUAACAGAGGGAGGUAGAGAUAACAUGGAUGCUAUGUAUUAACAGAGAGAGGUAGAGAUAACAUGGAUGCUAUAUGUUAACAGAAACAUUAGUCCAGCAGGUUUUUAUCACAUCUUAUUUUAUGCAUCAGCUGCUCCCAGAGACCUUGGUUAGCUUAAUCAGGCGUGUUAGAGCA
ensembl:lncRNA